CCUACGGGUGGCAGCAGUGAGGAAUAUUGGUCAAUGGGCGGAAUCCUGAACCAGCCAAGUAGCGUGCGGGAUGAAGGCCCUACGGGUUGUAAACCGCUUUUGCACGGGGACAACACCCUCCACUUGUGCAGGUCUGCAUGUACCCUGCGAAUAAGGGCCGGCUAACUCCGUGCCAGCAGCCGCGGUAAUACGGAAGGCCCGAGCGUUAUCCGGAUUCAUUGGGCUUAAAGGGAGCGUAGGCGGGCCUUCAAGUCAGCUGUAAAAUCGCGGGGCUCAACCCCGCCCCGCAGUUGAAACUGGAAGACUGGAGUUGGCGACAGGCAGGCGGAAUUCGUGGUGUAGCGGUGAAAUGCAUAGAUAUCGCGAGGAACCCCGAUUGCGAAGGCAGCGUGCCGGGGUGCGACUGACGCUGAGGCUCGAAGGUGCGGGGAUCGAACAGGAUUAGAUACCCGUGUAGUC
rnacentral:rRNA from 1 species